rfam:Drosophila ficusphila unplaced genomic scaffold scf7180000453872, whole genome shotgun sequence
AAAUGGCGUGUAAAAUGUUGCAAAUAACACAAAUUACACAAAUACAUGUAACGUUUUACGCGCCUUAA